rnacentral:rRNA from 1 species
UACGUAGGGAGCAAGCGUUGUCCGGAAUCAUUGGGCGUAAAGCGCGCGUAGGUGGCUUCGUAAGUCCGUUGUGAAAGUCAAAGGCUCAACCUUUAAAGCCGAAUGGAUACUGUGAAGCUAGAGUACGGAAGAGGCGAGUGGAAUCCUGGUGUAGCGGUGGAAUGCGCAGAUAGUCAGGAGGAACACCGGUGGCGAAGGCGGGU